rnacentral:rRNA from 1 species
UACGAAGGUGGCAAGCGUUGUUCGGAUUUACUGGGCGUAAAGGGAGCGUAGGUGGUUAGGUAAGCCCUCCGGGAAAUCUUCAGGCUUAACCUGAAAAGGUCGGGGGGGACUGCCUAGCUAGAGGGCGGGAGAGGAGCGCGGAAUUCCCGGUGUAGCGGUGAAAUGCGUAGAGAUCGGGAGGAAGACCAGUGGCGAAGGCGG